rnacentral:rRNA from 1 species
GAUGAACGCUGGCGGCGUGCCUAAUACAUGCAGGUCGAACGCUGGAGAUCUAGCUUGCUAGAUCGAAGGAGUGGCGAACGGGUGAGUAAUACAUAAGCAACCUACCCACGAAGACUGGGAUAAUCUCUGGAAACGGGGACUAAUACCGGAUAGGUAAUCGGAAGGCAUCUUCUGGUUAUUAAAGGUUAAAAACACUGGUGGAUGGGCUUAUGGCGCAUUAGUUAGUUGGUGAGGUAACGGCCCACCAAGACGAUGAUGCGUAGCCGGCCUGAGAGGGUGAACGGCCACAUUGGGACUGAGACACGGCCCAGACUCCUACGGGAGGCAGCAGUAGGGAAUUUUCGGCAAUGGGGGCAACCCUGACCGAGCAACGCCGCGUGAGUGAAGACGGCCUUCGGGUUGUAAAGCUCUGUUGUAAGGGAAGAACGGUAGAUAGAGAAUAUCUAAGUGACGGUACCUUACCAGAAAGCCACGGCUAACUACGUGCCAGCAGCCGCGGUAAUACGUAGGUGGCGAGCGUUAUCCGGAAUUAUUGGGCGUAAAGGGUGCGUAGGCGGCCUGUUAAGUAAGUGGUUAAAUUGUUGGGCUCAACCCAAUCCAGCCACUUAAACUGGCAGGCUAGAGUAUUGGAGAGGCAAGUGGAAUUCCAUGUGUAGCGGUAAAAUGCGUAGAUAUAUGGAGGAACACCAGUGGCGAAGGCGGCUUGCUAGCCAAAGACUGACGCUCAUGCACGAAAGCGUGGGGAGCAAAUAGG